AUUGAACGCUGGCGGCAUGCUUUACACAUGCAAGUCGAACGGUAACAGGCCGCAAGGUGCUGACGAGUGGCGGACGGGUGCGUAAUGCAUCGGAACGUGCCCAGUCGUGGGGGAUAACUACUCGCAAGAGUAGCUAAUACCGCAUACGAUCUAUGGAUGACAGCGGGGGACCGUAAGGCCUCGCGCGAUUUGAGCGGCCGAUGUCAGAUUAGGUAGUUGGUGGGGUAAAGGCUCACCAAGCCAACGAUCUGUAGCUGGUCUGAGAGGACGACCAGCCACACUGGGACUGAGACACGGCCCAGACUCCUACGGGAGGCAGCAGUGGGGAAUGUUGGACAAUGGGCGCAAGCCUGAUCCAGCAAUGCCGCGUGCAGGAAGAAGGCCUUCGGGUUGUAAACUGCUUUUGUACGGAAAGAAACGGCUCUGGUUAAUACCCGGGGCUAAUGACGGUACCGAAAGAAUAAGCACCGGCUAACUACGUG
rnacentral:rRNA from 1 species